CGCGUAGGUGGUUGCGUCAGUCGGAUGUGAAAUCCCCAGGCUUAACCUGGGAACUGCAUCUGAUACUGCGUGACUCGAGUGCAGCAGAGGGAAACGGAAUUCCUGUGUAGAGGUGAAAUUCGUAGAUAUCAGGAGGAACACCGGUGGCGAAGGCGGUUUCCUGGGCUGACACUGACACUGAGGCGCGAAAGCGUGGGUAGCAAACAGGAUUAGAUACCCUGGUAGUCCACGCUGUAAACGGUGAGUACUGGGUGUGGGAGGUGUAAUGCCUUCUGUGCCGAAGCUAACGCGUUAAGUACUCCGCCUGGGGAGUACGGCCGCAAGGUUGAA
rnacentral:rRNA from 1 species